UACGUAGGUGACAAGCGUUGUCCGGAUUUACUGGGCGUAAAGAGCGCGCAGGCGGUCGAUCAAGUCGAGUGUGAAAGCCCCCGGCUCAACUGGGGAGGGUCAUUCGAUACUGAUCGACUCGAAGGCAGGAGAGGGUAGUGGAAUUCCCGGUGUAGUGGUGAAAUGCGCAGAGUAUCAGGAGGAACACCGAUGGCGAAGGGCAGGUCUCUGGGCAUUAACUGACGCUGAGGAGCGAAAGCAUGGGGAGCGAACAGG
rnacentral:rRNA from 1 species